rnacentral:rRNA from 1 species
GACGAACGCUGGCGGCGUGCUUAACACAUGCAAGUCGAACGCUGAAGCUUGGUGCUUGCACUGGGUGGAUGAGUGGCGAACGGGUGAGUAAUAAGUGAGUAACCUGCCCUUGACUCUGGGAUAAGCCUGGGAAACUGGGUCUAAUACUGGAUACGACAUGUCACCGCAUGGUGGUGUGUGGAAAGGGUUUUACUGGUUUUGGAUGGGCUCACGGCCUAUCAGCUUGUUGGUGGGGUAAUGGCUCACCAAGGCGACGACGGGUAGCCGGCCUGAGAGGGUGACCGGCCACACUGGGACUGAGACACGGCCCAGACUCCUACGGGAGGCAGCAGUGGGGAAUAUUGCACAAUGGGCGGAAGCCUGAUGCAGCGACGCCGCGUGAGGGAUGACGGCCUUCGGGUUGUAAACCUCUUUCAGCACGGAAGAAGCGAAAGUGACGGUACGUGCAGAAGAAGCGCCGGCUAACUACGUG